ACUCACUACUAUGCCACUGUAUUAGGUUGACUGGAAGAAAUCUUUUUUAGAGAGAAGUUCGCCUUUACUAACAUUGUUAUUAACUUAUUGUUGUUACUGUAUGUUUUAGUGCAAUAAAGAAUAUAUAACUGUACAAGUACCGAAACAUACACAAGCUGUUCACGAUUGUCCUCCACAAUGGAACGAGGAACAUUGUGGUCGGCAAGACUUCCAUGGUGGAAGCUCGCAAAGAACACGAGGACAUUUCUUCUGUACCAAGAAAGCCUUAUUAAUGUCAGUGGAAUUACCCCAUACUAUUAAGCCAUAUCGCAAUGGUGAGGUUACAUAUCCGUGAUAUGCUAUCAGAGUUGUUUUCUCAUCAGUAGUUUUACUUAAUCUUUUAAGGAAGUAUACACAUUUAUUUAUUUUAUUUCAGACCUUAUCUAUUUGGGCUUUCCAGUUGCAAUGAUAAUCCAUUUUGGCUCCAAGAAAUGAGAUUUCAUGAAAUGGCUUAAUGCUUCGCUGUUAUAUUUUAUAUUUAGUCCAAGUUGUUUCACCUUUUUUUCUAAAUUGAAUAUAUCCGGUUUUAUCAAGAUUCAAAGUAAAAUAUUUUUCUUUAAGCCAUUGUGUGAUGGAACUAACUGUUAGGUUAAUGUCAUCUUCAAAGCUUUCCAAGUUCUCUGAGUCACAUGUAAUAGUAACAGAAAUGUCAUCUGCGAUAAUACUCAUUAAUGUUUUGUAACCUUAGGUAAAUCAUUUAUAUAAGAAAAAAAUAAUAAAGGCCCCAAAAUACAUCCCUGAGGUACACCGUAGCCAUUGUGCUUACUAUUUGAUUUAUAAAAUGUUAACACUGAUUUUUCAUCCAGAUGAAUAAUUUCAACAUGUUGAUAUCUAUUCACCAAAUAACUUUCUAACCAACUAUAGGCUGGCCCUCGAAUUCCAUAGAAGUACAGUUUGCUUAAAAGUACUUUAUAUACAUAGUCAAAUGCUUUUUUUAUGUCAAAGAAAUGUACUACAGUUUUAUUUUUACUAUCUAUGUUGUCAAUUACAUUCCUUGUCAAGUUAUAAAUAGCUAAUUCUGUCGAUAUAUUUUUUUUAAAACCAUGUUUAUGUCAUAAUAUAGAAGAAGAAGAUUUGGUAGAAAGUUGAAAUAAGAAUAAAAUUAAAAUCUUGUAUUACAAUUGAUCAA